AUUGAACGCUGGCGGCAGGCCUAACCCAUGCAAGUCGAACGAGUGGCGGACGGGUGAGUAAUGUCUGGGAAACUGCCUGAUGGAGGGGGAUAACUACUGGAAACGGUAGCUAAUACCGCAUACCAUCGGAUUUGCCCAGAUGGGAUUAGCUAGUAGGUGGGGGAAAGGCUAACCUAGGCGACGAUCCCUAGCUGGUCUAAGAGGAUGACCAGCCACACUGGGACUGAGAAACGUGCCAGACUCCUACGGGAGGCAGCAGUGGGGAAUAUUGCACAAUGGGCGCAAGCCUGAUGCAGCCAUGCCGCGUGUAUGAAGAAGGCCUUCGGGUUGUAAAGUACUUUCAGCGGGGAGGCGUUACCCGCAGAAGAAGCACCGGCUAACUCCGUGCCAGCAGCCGCGGUAAUUC
rnacentral:rRNA from 1 species